CAGCAGCCGCGGUAAUACGGAGGGAGCUAGCGUUGUUCGGAAUUACUGGGCGUAAAGCGCACGUAGGCGGCUUUGUAAGUUAGAGGUGAAAGCCUGAAGCUCAACUCCAGAAUUGCCUUUAAGACUGCAUCGCUUGAAUCCGGGAGAGGUGAGUGGAAUUCCGAGUGUAGAGGUGAAAUUCGUAGAUAUUCGGAAGAACACCAGUGGCGAAGGCGGCUCACUGGACCGGCAUUGACACUGAGGCACGAAAGCGUGGGGAGCAAACAGGAUUAGAUACCCGGGUAGUCCCUGUCUCUUAUAC
rnacentral:rRNA from 1 species